rnacentral:rRNA from 1 species
AACGAACGCUGGCGGCAUGCCUAACACAUGCAAGUCGAACGAGACCUUCGGGUCUAGUGGCGCACGGGUGCGUAACGCGUGGGAACUUGCCCUUAGGUUCGGAAUAACUCCCCGAAAGGGGUGCUAAUACCGGAUAAUGUCUUCGGACCAAAGAUUUAUCGCCUUUGGAUGGGCCCGCGUUGGAUUAGCUAGUUGGUAGGGUAAAAGCCUACCAAGGCGACGAUCCAUAGCUGGUCUGAGAGGAUGAUCAGCCACACUGGGACUGAGACACGGCCCAGACUCCUACGGGAGGCAGCAGUGGGGAAUAUUGGACGAUGGGCGAAAGCCUGAUCCAGCAAUGCCGCGUGAGUGAUGAAGGCCUUAGGGUUGUAAAGCUCUUUUACCCGGGAUGAUAAUGACAGUACCGGGAGAAUAAGCUCCGGCUAACUCCGUG